rnacentral:rRNA from 1 species
UACGUAGGGUGCGAGCGUUGUCCGGAAUUAUUGGGCGUAAAGAGCUCGUAGGCGGUGUGUCACGUCGGCCGUGAAAACCUGCAGCUUAACUGUGGGCGUGCGGUCGAUACGGGCAUCACUGGAGUUCGGCAGGGGAGACUGGAAUUCCUGGUGUAGCGGUGAAAUGCGCAGAUAUCAGGAGGAACACCAAUAGCGAAGGCAGCUCGCUGGGACGGUACUGACGCUGAGACGCGAAAGCGUGGGGAGCGAACAGG